rnacentral:rRNA from 1 species
UACGUAGGAUGCAAGCGUUGUCCGGAAUUAUUGGGCGUAAAGAGUUCGUAGGCGGUUUUCUAAGUUUGGUCUUAAAGACCGGGGCUCAACCCCGGGAAUGGAUCGAAAACUGGGAGACUCGAGGAUGUUAGAGGAAAGUGGAAUUCCAAGUGUAGCGGUGAAAUGCGUAGAUAUUUGGAGGAACACCAGUGGCGAAAGCGACUUUCUGGGACAUUUCUGACGCUGAGGAACGAAAGCUCGGGGAGCAAACAGG